rnacentral:rRNA from 1 species
GACGAACGCUGGCGGCGUGCUUAACACAUGCAAGUCGAACGGAAAGGCCCUUCGGGGUACUCGAGUGGCGAACGGGUGAGUAACACGUGGGUGAUCUGCCCUGCACUUUGGGAUAAGCCUGGGAAACUGGGUCUAAUACCGAAUAGGACCACGCGCUUCAUGGUGUGUGGUGGAAAGCUUUUGCGGUGUGGGAUGGGCCCGCGGCCUAUCAGCUUGUUGGUGGGGUAAUGGCCUACCAAGGCGACGACGGGUAGCCGGCCUGAGAGGGUAACCGGCCACACUGGGACUGAGAGACGGCCCAGACUCCUACGGGAGGCAGCAGUGGGGAAUAUUGCACAAUGGGCGCAAGCCUGAUGCAGCGACGCCGCGUGAGGGAUGACGGCCUUCGGGUUGUAAACCGCUUUCAAUAGGGACGAAGCGCAAGUGACGGUACCGAUAGAAGAAGCACCGGCCAACUACGU